UACGUAGGCAGCAAGCGUUGUUCGGAAUUAUUGGGCGUAAAGAGUGUGUAGGCGGUGUUCCAAGUCUGUUGUGAAAUCUCCCGGCUUAACUGGGAGGGUGCGGCGGAAACUGGAAUGCUAGAGGGUGGGAGAGGUAAGCGGAAUUCCUGGUGUAGCGGUGAAAUGCGUAGAUAUCAGAAGGAACAUCAGUGGCGAAGGCGGCUUCCUGGACCAAUACUGACGAUCAGGUGCGAAAGCGUGGGGAGCAAACAGG
rnacentral:rRNA from 1 species